UACGUAGGUGGCAAGCGUUGUCCGGAUUUACUGGGCGUAAAGAGCGCGCAGGCGGUCGUUCAAGUCGGGUGUGAAAGCCCCCGGCUCAACUGGGGAGGGUCACGCGAUACUGACCGACUCGAAGGCAGGAGAGGGUAGUGGAAUUCCCGGUGUAGUGGUGAAAUGCGUAGAUAUCGGGAGGAACACCAGUGGCGAAGGCGGGUCUCUGGGCCGAUACUGACGCUGAGGAGCGAAAGCGUGGGGAGCGAACAGG
rnacentral:rRNA from 1 species